rnacentral:rRNA from 1 species
GAUUCUGGCUCAGGAUGAACGCUAGCUACAGGCUUAACACAUGCAAGUCGAGGGGCAGCAUUAAGUUAGCUUGCUAACUUAGAUGGCGACCGGCGCACGGGUGAGUAACGCGUAUCCAACCUUCCCCCUGCUCAGGGAUAGCCCGCUGAAAGGCGGAUUAACACCUGAUAGCUUCACUAGAUGGCAUCUGACGGUGAAUAAAGAUAACGGCAAGGGAUGGGGAUGCGUCUGAUUAGCUUGUUGGCGGGGUAACGGCCCACCAAGGCAACGAUCAGUAGGGGUUCUGAGAGGAAGGUCCCCCACAUUGGAACUGAGACACGGUCCAAACUCCUACGGGAGGCAGCAGUGAGGAAUAUUGGUCAAUGGGCGGAAGCCUGAACCAGCCAAGUAAGCGUGCAGGAUGACGGCCCUAUGGGUUGUAAACUGCUUUUGUACGGGAAUAAAGUGACCCACGUGUGGGUUUUUGCAUGUACCGUAAGAAUAAGGACCGGCUAAUUCCGUGCCAGCAGCGGC